CCCUUAGAUGUUCUGGGCCGCACGCGCGCUACAAUGAUGAAUUCAACGAGUUUAUAACCUUGGUUGAAAAGCCUGGGUAAUCUUUUGAACUUUCGUCGUGAUGGGGCUAGACCCUUGCAAUUAUUGGUCUCCAACGAGGAAUUCCUAGUAAACGCAAGUCAUCAGCUUGCAUUGAUUACGUCCCUGCCCUUUGUACACACCGCCCGUCGCUUCUACCGAUGAAUGAUCCGGUGAACACUCUGGACUUGUUGUCUGUCGGAGCAAUCCAAAGACGAUAGGGAAGUUGUGUAAACCUUAUCAUUUAGAGGAAGAAGAAGUCGUAACA
rnacentral:rRNA from 1 species